GGGGCCCGCACAAGCGGUGGAGCAUGUGGUUAAUUCGAUGAUACGCGAGGAACCUUACCUGGGCUCAAAUGUAUGUUGACGUAUUCUGAAAGGGAUACUUCUUCGGACAAUAUACAAGGUGCUGCAUAGUUGUCGUCAGCUCGUGUCGUGAGAUGUUGGGUUAAGUCCCGCAACGAGCGCAACCCUUGCCUUUAGUUGCCAGCAGUUCGGCUGGGCACUCUAAAGGGACUGCCGGUGUUAAACCGGAGGAAGGUGGGGAUGACGUCAAGUCCUCAUGGCCUUUAUGACCAGGGCUACACACGUACUACAAUGGCCGAUACAAAGGGCAGCGACACUGCGAGGUGAAGCCAAUCCCGUAAAAUCGGUCUCAGUCCGGAUUGGAGUCUGCAACUCGACUCCAUGAAGUUGGAAUCGCUAGUAAUCGUGGAUCAGCAUGCCACGGUGAAUACGUUCCCGGGCCUU
rnacentral:rRNA from 1 species